GAUUAUUGGAGUUAACUGUGUCCCAGGCACUAGACUAAUCAGAAUUUAACUGACAUUAGUUAAUGAUCUGGGUCUCUAGAAGAGGCCUGUGAGCCUGACACAGCCAGGCAUGACCCAACGCUGGACAAUCUCACCGUCGUUGAUCUGGGAAGAAACUCCAGACAGGACUUCUUGAGCAGAGGAUAAAGCAAGCAGCCCACAGAGGAGAAUGAAGAGGCUGGAGACCUUCAGCAUCUUGGAAUGGGCACCUGUGGAUUGGUUCCCAGGACGUGACUGAACCUCUGUACCAUCUCCCUCUGGACGGUCGAUGCUGCCACCAUCCCCCAGGAGUGACAAUUGAGCCCAGUCCAAGGACACCUCUCCAAUACUUGUGCUCAAAGUCAGAACUUCCUGUGCUCAUCACCCUCUAACCCCAGCAAUAAAACGCCAUUUCUGCACC
rnacentral:lncRNA from 1 species